AGAAAAGAAGAAAUGCUCAUCUGAAAUUCAUCACCUCUCUGGAGUCUUCAAACUGACCAAGCAUUGAAAAGCUCUCACUUCAGAGUCCAAGAAGGACACAUCUAAUCGCUGUCUAGGCCAAGUGCCAAGACUUGUGCCCAGUCUCCAAGCGGCUGGGAAAGAAAAUACUUGGAGAUUUCACAUCCCAUUACAAGUGAGUUCAGUUUCUCACUGAGCCUCAGAAUAUGAGGAAUUCUCCAAAAUGAAGACGUCCAGAUGACAGCAACACCAAACGUGAAACCAUGAUAAAUGUGUGCACCCCCUGGAUUACUGCACAAGCCUUCUCACGGACCGCCCUACUGUCAGUCUUGUCUUCCUCUUUCCCUACCUCUGUCCCGGAUCCAGACUGCAAUCAGUUAUCUCUCAAAAAUAACACAGUUUCAGAAAACAGUUUCCAGUGCCUCUGGCCUUCCUACUGAAAGCAGACACAGAGUGCAUGAAGACCGUUCAAAUAUGUCAGGGACCUCCUCCCAUGAGUCCUUCUAUGACUCCCUCUCAGACAUGCAGGAAGAAAGCAAGAAUACUGACUUCUUCCCG
rnacentral:lncRNA from 1 species